GAAGGAAGGAAGGAAGGAAGGAAGGAAGGAAGGAAGGAAGAAAGAAAGAAAGAAAGAAAGAAAGAAAGAAAGAAAGAAAGAAAGAAAGAAAGAAAGAAAGAAAGAAAGAAAGAAAGAAAGAAAGAAAGAAAGAAAGAAAGAAAGAAAGAGAAGGAGGAAGGAAGGAAGGAAGAAAGGAGGAAAGAAAGAAAGAAAGAAAGAAAGAAAGAAAGAAAGAAAGAAAGAAAGAAAGAAAGAAAGAAAGAAAGAAAGAAAGAAAGAAAGAAAGAAAGAAAGAAAGAAAGAAAGAAAGAAAGAGAAAAGAGAGAGAAGGAGGGAGGGAGGGAGGAAGGAAGGAAGGAAGGAAGGAAGGAAGGAAGGAAGGAAGGAAGGAAGGAAGGAAGGAAGGAAGGAAGGAAGGAAGGAAGGGAGAGAGGAAGGAAGUGAGGGAGGAAGGAAGUGAGGGAGGAAGGAAGGAAGAGAGAAGCAAACAAGAGAGACAAGGAUUAAGAAAGGACUCCUGCAGAAGAAAACUGUUAAGGACUGCAAUUUUCAACUUGGGCCUGCAAGCUAAAAGCAAGCACUAUCCCUUAGAGUGGCUUUUAUCUUUCUUGGUGAGUACAGAUUUCCUUUUUACUUACCUUUAUUCUGAUUUUAAAAUGUUGCUAUCUAUUAGAGAACUGAACAAUAUAUUUGCUUGUACCAAUAUAAAAUCUGGAUAUUGUUCCUGGGUUACAGAUUACAAGGGCCAAUUAAAUAUAGUGUCCAAGUUCAUUUCCCAAGAAAAAUAAUUUCUUUCCACAUUCCUAAUGGACCAAGUUCAAUUUCUUUGCAAAACAAUCCCAAAGAAUUAUCUCUAAAACUAAUAAUAACAGUAACUAAGGCAAUAACUGCUUACAUUCUGAUAUGCACACCUUCCUUAUAAGUCUCAAAGAAAGGUAAAGUCCUUCUGAUAUUUGACAGAGUGAUAAAUGGUAUAAAGGAAUUGAUUCAGUAACUCGGGCUGAAAGGUAAUGCCUAUUAAGUAACCUACAAGAACAAUACAGAACUAUCCAGGAUGAAAGAUAGAGAAUGCCUUAUUUAUUUCUUAUUUACUUCAUGUGGAAUAUAUCUGUUGUGGGUGUUUUUUGUGAUUUUUAUCAGUCUUCUGUAGUUUAAAGAUGAGAGAUUGUGAGAAAUUGAACAAUGGUUUUUAAAAGUGUGUACUGUUCUACUAUUUGUGAUUGUUUAGUUGUUUAUAUCCAAUUCUUCAUGAUCUCAUUCAGAGUUUUCCUGACAAAGACCUUGGAAUGAUUUACCAUUUUCUUCUCUAGACAAAAGGGAUAAAUGACUUGCCCAGGGUCACACAGUUAGGAAGUAUAUAAGGCCAAAUUUGAAUCCAAGACCUCCCAUCUCUGGGCCUGGCUCUCAAUCCACUGAUCUACCUCAUUGCCUCCAUUGUUAAGUUUUUCUGAAUUACUUUUUUAUUUAUAUUUUUUAAUAUGCUAAUUGUUUGGGGAGUAGAGUCAAGGGAUUCAGAAAUGAAGAUAUGAAAAAAAUCAAUGAAAAAAUUUAAGAGUACUGGGUUUACAGUAAUAUUAUACUAUGAUUAUCUGUGAAAACUUGGCUACUCUUGGCAAUGCAAAGAUCUUGGUCAAUCUUGAAAGAUUAUGAUGGGGAAUGCUAUCCACCUUCAGAGAAAAAAACUGUUGGAGUCAUCUUUCACGUCAGUAUAUUUAUGGUUUUUAUCAGUGUAUUUAUUUUGGGUUUUGAUUAGGUAUCCGUUUCUCUUACAACAGUGACCAAUAAGGAAGAGUGUUUUACAUGACAUUAAAAAUAAUAUUUUUUAAAGAGUACUGGUUUUAGAAAUAAAAGACUUGGAUUCUUCUCUGAAAUACA
rnacentral:lncRNA from 1 species